rnacentral:tRNA from 1 species
GUCUGGAUAGCUCAGUUGGUUAGAGUGAGAGACUGAAAAUCUCUUUGUCAGUGGUUCAAUUCCACUUCCAGACA